CUCCUUCGGGAGUACUCGAGCGGCGAAAGGUUAAGUAACGCGUGGAUAUCUGCCCUCAGACCCGGGAUAGCGGCGGGAAACUGCCGGUAAUACCGGAUAAUGUCUCCGGACCAAAGGUGUGAUUCCGUCUGAGGAUGAGUCCGCGUCCUAUUAGCUUGUUGGUGGGGUAAUGGCCUACCAAGGCUGUGAUGGGUACCGGGUGUGAGAGCAUGGCCCGGCUCACUGGGACUGAGACACUGCCCAGACACCUACGGGUGGCUGCAGUCGAGAAUCUUCGGCAAUGGGCGCAAGCCUGACCGAGCGACGCCGCGUGCGGGAUGAAGGCCCUCGGGUUGUAAACCGCUGUCAGAGGUUAGGAAAUGCUAGAGGGUUCUCUCUCUAGUUUGACCGAUCCUCAGAGGAAGUACGGGCUAAGUUCGUGCCAGCAGCCGCGGUAACACGAACCGUACGAACGUUAUUCGGAAUCACUGGGCUUAAAGAGUGCGUAGGCGGCCUGGCAGGUUGGGUGUGAAAGCCCUCGGCUCAACCGAGGAAUUGCGCUCAAAACCGUCAGGCUUGAGGGAGAUAGAGGUGAGUGGAACUGAUGGUGGAGCGGUGAAAUGCGUUGAUAUUAUCAGGAACACCGGUGGCGAAAGCGGCUCACUGGGUCUCUUCUGACGCUGAGGCACGAAAGCUAGGG
rnacentral:rRNA from 1 species